GACAUGCUCAAUGGUAGAUGGAGCCUAAGUUUGACCGUCCAUCUUAUUUAAAAUUAUUUUAUUAUUAGUAUUUUUAUUUUUAUUAGAUAAUAAAUUAAAUACGAAUAGUACUUUAUGCAUGACUUAUUUUUUUAGUUUUUUUAGAAAAUUUUCAAAUAAAACGGACGGCCAAACGUUAGAUAAGGAAACCCAUAACUAUAUUUAAA
rfam:Oryza glumipatula chromosome 3, whole genome shotgun sequence.